rnacentral:siRNA from 1 species
AGAGCUAGCAGAUAUGGUGUGA